GACGAACGCUGGCGGCGUGCUUAACACAUGCAAGUCGAACGGUGAACGAGGGAGCUUGCUCCCUCCGGAUCAGUGGCGAACGGGUGAGUAAUACGUGAGCAAUCUGCCCCGAACUCUGGGAUAAGCGUUGGAAACGACGUCUAAUACCGGAUACGACGCGGGAGGGCAUCCUCUCCGCGUGGAAAGAACUUCGGUUCGGGAUGAGCUCGCGGCCUAUCAGCUUGUUGGUGAGGUAACGGCUCACCAAGGCGACGACGGGUAGCCGGCCUGAGAGGGUGACCGGCCACACUGGGACUGAGACACGGCCCAGACUCCUACGGGAGGCAGCAGUGGGGAAUAUUGCACAAUGGGCGCAAGCCUGAUGCAGCAGCGCCGCGUGAGGGACGACGGCCUUCGGGUUGUAAACCUCUUUUAGCAGGGAAGAAGCGAAAGUGACGGUACCUGCAGAAAAAGCACCGGCUAACUACGUG
rnacentral:rRNA from 1 species